UUCUGUCUCUUGAGAAUAGGAGGUCCUUGGAGAUUACAAGGAAGCAAGGAAACGUUGGCAUUAGACUAUGGCUGUGGACUCAAGUGGCACCCGAAAAGGGACCUGAAAGAGGGGCUUCCCCUGGCAGAGUGGCCCUGGACAAGGUGGGCUGUUUGGCUAACAGCCCUAGAAAAGGAGCUCCGGUCGUCAAGAAAGGAUGGCUAACAAGAAAACUUUGGUAAACCUGUCUGGAUACCGGAGAAAAAUGUCAAAGCAUGUACCACAACUCACAACUCCAAUGCAAAGUAUGAGGAUUUGGGGAAAGCACAGAAGGAGCUGAUCUACAGAUGAGUCACCUUCCCAUAUGGGGUCAAGUGAAAGCUCCCUCUCAUCGAGUGAUGAAAGACUCUUGAACUUGUAAUUGUAGCAAUAGUAGCUUUACUUUCUGCUCAAGUGUGUAAUGUGGAGAGUGCUUGCCAUUGGACUUGUUUUCCUUUUCCACCCUGGUUGCAAUCCCUCACAUAUAUGGGCAAAUUGGGAACUAUAUAUACUAAUAACACCGGUGUAUUCAGAAGCCAAGAAUAUCCCUUUCUCCAGGACAGAGCCAAUGUUACAAGUACCCUCAGAUCUCUAGCAUCCAGGACACCUAUGUUUUUCAGAAUUUAGCAGCAAUAUUGAACCCUGUCUUUUUCUUGUUACGUCAUUUUUUAAAAAUACCAGUUUGUCUAAUGGAUAUGUAAAUUUUACUCAAUCU